GCUAAACUAUACUGCUACAACAUUUUUAUUCAAUAUUAUGAAACUUAACAUAAAAAAACAAGAAACAUACGAGAUCAACCAAAGCAGCGGCCUUCUGGUAUGUUGAUCCAUAAGUAAUGGCAUCUGUUCUGUUAAACAAGUUCCUACGAUCCCUUCUUUGGUCGCCACUGCUGCCUUCUCCUCCACCCAACAAAGCCGUCUCCAUUUUUGCUCUGACCACUACAGGAUCAAAGAUGGGAUUGAUUAUAAUGUGGUCAUUAAUGAGAGAAGGAAAUGGUUGUUCGUUAUGGAUGAAUUUGAACUCAAGUAUUUUCAAAUUGUCAGUAUCAGAUAUUCAGUAAGACGUGUGGCAGUUUUUGCAUGAUUGACGG
rnacentral:lncRNA from 1 species